GAUGAACGCUGGCGGUGUGCCUAAUACAUGCAAGUCGAGCGAACAGACGAGGAGCUUACUCCUCUGACGUUAGCGGCGGACGGGUGAGUAACACGUGGAUAACCUACCUAUAAGACUGGGAUAACUUCGGGAAACCGGAGCUAAUACCGGAUAACAUGUUGAACCGCAUGGUUCAACAGUGAAAGACGGUCUUGCUGUCACUUAUAGAUGGAUCCGCGUCGCAUUAGCAAGUUGGUAAGGUAACGGCUUACCAAGGCAACGAUGCGUAGCCGACCUGAGAGGGUGAUCGGCCACACUGGAACUGAGACACGGUCCAGACUCCUACGGGAGGCAGCAGUAGGGAAUCUUCCGCAAUGGGCGAAAGCCUGACGGAGCAACGCCGCGUGAGUGAAGAAGGUCUUCGGAUCGUAAAACUCUGUUAUUAGGGAAGAACAAAUGUGUAAGUAACUAUGCACGUCUUGACGGUACCUAAUCAGAAAGCCACGGCUAACUACAUG
rnacentral:rRNA from 1 species